rnacentral:lncRNA from 1 species
GAACUUCACAGCAGAACUCUGGGCCGUCCAACGAGCCGAGGAAGCCACUUCGAGUGAAGGUCUCGGAACCGUGUCUGCGGCGGGUGCCCAGACCCACUA